rnacentral:rRNA from 1 species
UACGUAGGGGGCAAGCGUUGUCCGGAUUUAUUGGGCGUAAAGAGCGUGUAGGCGGUUUUGCAGGUCUGCUGUGAAAACUCGAGGCUCAACCUCGAGCUGUCGGUGGAAACCGUAAAGCUAGAGUCCGGAAGAGGAGAGUGGAAUUCCCGGUGUAGCGGUGAAAUGCGCAGAUAUCGGGAAGAACACCCGUGGCGAAGGCGGCUCUCUGGGACGGUACUGACGCUGAGACGCGAAAGCGUGGGGAGCGAACAGG